rnacentral:miRNA from 1 species
GAGUGGACAUUAAAGGGAGAUGGGAGGGAGUGCACAGAGGGAGGGGAGAUCAAGCUUCCCCUUAUGCACUCCCUCCCAUCUCCCUUUAAUGUCCACUCA